rnacentral:rRNA from 1 species
UAACAAGGAUUCCCUAGUAACUGCGAGUGAAGCGGGAAAAGCUCAAAUUUAAAAUCUGACAGUUUCACUGUCCGAGUUGUAAUCUGGAGAAGCAUUUUCCGUGUCGGACCGUGUACAAGUCUCUUGGAAUAGAGCGUCAUAGAGGGUGAGAAUCCCGUCCAUGACACGGACUACCGAUGCUUUGUGAUAUGCUCUCGAAGAGUCGAGUUGUUUGGGAAUGCAGCUCAAAAUGGGUGGUAAAUUCCAUCUAAAGCUAAAUAUUGGCGAGAGACCGAUAGCGAACAAGUACCGUGAGGGAAAGAUGAAAAGCACUUUGGAAAGAGAGUUAAACAGUACGUGAAAUUGUUGAAAGGGAAACGCUUGAAGUCAGUCGCGUUGAUUGAGACUCAGCCUUGCUUUGCAUGGUGUACUUCUCRGUUAACGGGUCAACAUCAAUUUCAGUUGGUGGAUAAAGGCAUUGGGAAUGUGGCACCUUCGGGUGUGUUAUAGACCUUUGUUGCAUACACUGACCGGGAUUGAGGAACGCAGCACGCCACUAAGGCCAGGGAUUCGUCCCAUGUAACGUGCUUAGGAUGUUGGCAUAAUGGCUUUAAGCGACCCGUCUUGAAACACGGACCAAGGAGUCUAACAUGCCUGCGAGUAUUAGGGUGGAAAACCCUUGUGCGUAAUGAAAGUGAAAGUUGGGACCUCUUGCGAGGGCACCGACGCCCGGCCCUGAAGUUUACUGACGGCGCUGCGGUAGAGCAUGUAUGUUGGGACCCGAAAGAUGGUGAACUAUGCCUGAAUAGGGUGAAGCCAGGGGAAACUCUGGUGGAGGCUCGUAGCGAUUCUGACGUGCAAAUCGAUCGUCAAAUUUGGG